rnacentral:rRNA from 1 species
UACGUAGGGGGCAAGCGUUGUCCGGAUUUAUUGGGCGUAGAGAGCGUGUAGGCGGCCGCACAGGUCCGUUGUGAAAACUGGAGGCUCAACCUUCAGACGUCGAUGGAAACCGUGCGGCUAGAGUCCGGAAGAGGAGAGUGGAAUUCCUGGUGUAGCGGUGAAAUGCGCAGAUAUCAGGAAGAACACCCGUGGCGAAGGCGGCUCUCUGGGACGGUACUGACGCUGAGACGCGAAAGCGUGGGGAGCGAACAGG